UUGGAUAUGGUGUAACGGCUAAUAUUGUCGCCUUUCACGCAGCACCUUGGGGUUCGAUUCCCCGUAUCCGAA
rnacentral:tRNA from 1 species